CAUAUGCCGAGAGGUGAAACGAAUUUCGCCUGAGGAUGAGCUCGCGUCUGAUUAGCUAGUUGGUGAGGUAAUGGCUCACCAAGGCAUCGAUCAGUAGCUGGUCUGAGAGGAUGAUCAGCCACACUGGGACUGAGACACGGCCCAGACUCCUACGGGAGGCAGCAGUGGGGAAUUUUCCGCAAUGGGCGCAAGCCUGACGGAGCAACGCCGCGUGAGGGAUGAAGGCCUCUGGGCUGUAAACCUCUUUUAUCAAGGAAGAAGAUCUGACGGUACUUGAUGAAUAAGCCACGGCUAAUUCCGUGCCAGCAGCCGCGGUAAUACGGGAGUGGCAAGCGUUAUCCGGAAUUAUUGGGCGUAAAGCGUCCGCAGGCGGUCUUGAAAGUCUGUUGUUAAAGCGUGGAGCUCAACUCCAUUUAAGCAAUGGAAACUAGAAGACUAGAGUGUGGUAGGGGCAGAGGGAAUUCCCGGUGUAGCGGUGAAAUGCGUAGAUAUCGGGAAGAACACCAGUGGCGAAGGCGCUCUGCUGGGCCAUAACUGACGCUCAUGGACGAAAGCCAGGGGAGCGAAAGGGAUUAGAUACCCCUGUAGUCCUGGCCGUAAACGAUGAACACUAGGUGUCGGGGGAAUCGACCCCCUCGGUGUCGUAGCCAACGCGUUAAGUGUUCCGCCUGGGGAGUACGCACGCAAGUGUGAAACUCAAAGGAAUUGACGGGGGCCCGCACAAGCGGUGGAGUAUGUGGUUUAAUUCGAUGCAACGCGAAGAACCUUACCAGGGUUUGACAUCCUGCGAAUCCCUUGGAAACUUGGGAGUGCCUUCGGGAGCGCAGUGACAGGUGGUGCAUGGCUGUCGUCAGCUCGUGUCGUGAGAUGUUGGGUUAAGUCCCGCAACGAGCGCAACCCACGUCUUUAGUUGCCAGCAUUGAGUUGGGCACUCUAGAGAGACUGCCGGUGAUAAACCGGAGGAAGGUGUGGAUGACGUCAAGUCAUCAUGCCCCUUACAUCCUGGGCUACACACGUACUACAAUGCUACGGACAAAGGGCAGCAAACUCGCGAGAGCUAGCAAAUCCCAUAAACCGUGGCUCAGUUCAGAUCGUAGGCUGCAACUCGCCUACGUGAAGGAGGAAUCGCUAGUAAUCGCAGGUCAGCAUACUGCGGUGAAUACGUUCCCGGGCCUUGUACACACCGCCCGUCACACCAUGGAAGUUGGCCAUGCCCGAAGUCGUUACUCCAACCCUUGUGGAGGAGGAUGCCGAAGGUGGGGCUGAUGACUGGGGUGAAGUCGUAACAAGGUAGCCGUACCGGAAGGUGCGGCUGGAUCACCUCCUAACAGGGAGACAAUAACUGAUUGUGAUGUCUGGCUUAUUUAUUGCUAGACCAUAAUCCUGUCAUCUCGAAGGUCGAUCGGUGCCUCAAUUUGAGGGUAAUAGAAGAGCUGGGUAAUCAGCUUGGAGUUUUGCCAAUCAAUUUCAGUUCCUAAACUUUGUCUAGGUCACCCCACAGAGGGUAAGCCGAGCGCACGAGCGGAGAUGUCCGUGCUGAAUCUGGCCAGCCGCAAGGCGGUCCAGAUCGUGGCAACGACUCCUGGGCCAUUAGCUCAGGUGGUUAGAGCGCACCCCUGAUAAGGGUGAGGUCCCUGGUUCAAGUCCAGGAUGGCCCAUUCACCGCCUGCUGAGCAGGCAGGGCUUGAUGGCUGGGGGUUUAGCUCAGUUGGUAGAGCGCCUGCUUUGCAAGCAGGAUGUCAGCGGUUCGAGUCCGCUAACCUCCAUCCAACAACGUGCUUAGCCUUUAAGCCAGACAUGCCGGUGGCAUGCAAGCCUAGGAGUUAGGCUGUGUUGGUGAUCUUGACGUUUGUUCGCUGAGGAUUUUAGCUUCUUUUCAUGGGCAUUCAUGAGUAUUCAUGAGCAUGCAUGUAAAGACGCUGAAUUCAAUGACUGCCUCCCGCAAGGAGGCAGUUUGUAUUUCAGCAGAACCUUGACAACUGUAUAGGUAAGUCUGGAAAAUAAGCAUCUCAUGGAUGCUUGAUCCAGGGUUCAAGAUAGCUCCAGCGAUGGGGUUGUUUUGGGCACUGAAUCAAGAAAAUUCUAUUGAGUUUUUAGAGCCGAGAGCUUUCAGUUUUCUUGUCUAUCUGCCGAGGGUAGAUGAGUUUGAUCCUGGCAUUCAAACCUCAGCAGUGGCCAUGAGCAAUUAUGGCUGCAGCUGGAGGUGAAUCCAGAGAGAA
rnacentral:misc_RNA from 1 species